GUGCUCGCUUCGGCAGCAUAUAUACUAAAAUUGGAAUGGUAUGGAAAAGAUUAAAAUGGCCCCUGCCCAAGGAUGACAAGCAAAUUUGUGAAGUGUUCCAUAUUAAA